GGAGAGAUGACCGAGUGGACGAAGGUGCUCGCCUGGAAAGCGGGUGUGCCCCAAAAGGGUACCGAGGGUUCGAAUCCCUCUCUCUCCG
rnacentral:tRNA from 1 species